UCUAUCAGCCGGGUUAUCGGGUAUUACGCAAGUAGUAUCAGGAAAGUCCGGACAGCAAAGGGCAACACACCGGUUAAUGGCCGGUUUUGUUAUGGUUGGUGGUAACACUAACUAUGGCGGAAAGAAAGUGCCACAGAAAAUUACCACCCCCAACUUGUUGGGGGCCAGGGUGAAAACGUGAGGUAAGAGCUCACGGGUUUUUGCAGUAAUGCAUUAAUUGGGUAAACCUUGUGUGCUGUAAUGCCACGUAUAUCAGCGUUUGAGGGCGGCUCGUUCAACCCCCAACUAGUUGGGGGGCGCUGAAGGGUAGGCAGCAAGAUUGUAACAGUAAUGUUGCAGCCAGAUAAAUGAUAACCUCUCCCAAUUUUUUGGGAUGACAGAAUCCGGCUUACAGGCUGAUAGAUUUU
rnacentral:RNase_P_RNA from 1 species